rnacentral:tRNA from 1 species
AUUUAAAUAAUUUAAAAAAAAAUAUUGAUUUGUGGUAUCAAAUAUGUGAAUUAAGAUCACUUUAAAUU